UUAAAUAUAUAUUAGACUGCUAUUUUGAUGAAGUUUUAUUACUGUCCGGAAUUCCAACUGAUGGAACAAGGUACGUAACCUCCACCAGAUUUAUCUCCGGCCAUGUCGUGAACUCUGACUAUUCUAGUAGAUGCAUUGCAGGCUGGGUUACAACCUUUUGAUUUAAUUUGGCUGUGCAUCAUAUAGCUGUUUCUGAUGUACACCAAUGCUUGGCAAGGAUAUGUUGAUGAUUAGAUAGGAGUCUGUUUAAACUUGUCUCUAUUUGAGGAGAGAACAAAAACUGACAAGGGUAACUGGUUCCGGUGAUUUUUGAAGCCGUACGAUAAAAGUCUGAAGGAAAUCUAAGGAGAGGUUAAGAUGGCGACCUGGGAGAUCAUGUACUGUU